rnacentral:rRNA from 1 species
CGUGGAGACAGGUGGUGCAUGGCUGUCGUCAGCUCGUGUCGUGAGAUGUUGGGUUAAGUCCCGCAACGAGCGCAACCCUCACCCCUAGUUGCCACCGGGUUAAGCCGAGCACUCAAGGGGAACUGCCAGCGUCAAGCUGGAGGAAGGCGGGGAUGACGUCAAGUCAUCAUGCCCCUUACGCCCUGGGCUACACACGUGCUACAAUGGCCAGUACAAAGGGACGCGAGACUGCGAAGUGGAGCUAAUCCCAAAAAGCUGGUCUAAGUUCAGAUUGCAGUCUGCAACUCGACUGCAUAAAGGAGGAAUCGCUAGUAAUCGCGUAUCAGCCCGGCGCGGUGAAUACGUUCCCGGGCCUUGUACACACCGCCCGUCACACCACGAAAGCUGUCUGUACUCGAAGUCGCUGAG